GAAUGCCGAAUCUAUAAUGCAGUCGAGCGGAUCGAUGGGAGCUUGCUCCCUGAGAUCAGCGGCGGACGGGUGAGUAACACGUGGGUAACCUGCCUGUAAGACUGGGAUAACUCCGGGAAACCGGGGCUAAUACCGGAUAACACCUACCCCCGCAUGGGGGAAGGUUGAAAGGUGGCUUCGGCUAUCACUUACAGAUGGACCCGCGGCGCAUUAGCUAGUUGGUGAGGUAAUGGCUCACCAAGGCGACGAUGCGUAGCCGACCUGAGAGGGUGAUCGGCCACACUGGGACUGAGACACGGCCCAGACUCCUACGGGAGGCAGCAGUAGGGAAUCUUCCGCAAUGGACGAAAGUCUGACGGAGCAACGCCGCGUGAGUGAAGAAGGUUUUCGGAUCGUAAAACUCUGUUGUUAGGGAAGAACAAGUGCCGUUCGAAUAGGGCGGCGCCUUGACGGUACCUAACCAGAAAGCCACGGCUAACUACGUGCCAGCAGCCGCGGUAAUACGUAGGUGGCAAGCGUUGUCCGGAAUUAUUGGGCGUAAAGCGCGCGCAGGUGGUUUCUUAAGUCUGAUGUGAAAGCCCACGGCUCAACCGUGGAGGGUCAUUGGAAACUGGGGAACUUGAGUGCAGAAGAGGAAAGUGGAAUUCCAAGUGUAGCGGUGAAAUGCGUAGAUAUUUGGAGGAACACCAGUGGCGAAAGCGACUUUCUGGUCUGUAACUGACACUGAGGCGCGAAAGCGUGGGGAGCAAACAGGAUUAUAUACCCCUGGUAGUCCACGCCGAAACAAUGAGUGCCUAACGUUACAGGGUUUCCCCCCCUUUAGUGCUUGCAGCUAACGCAUUAACCACUUCGGCCUGGGGAGCCCGGUCGCAGCACU
rnacentral:rRNA from 1 species